rnacentral:rRNA from 1 species
CGGAGGGUGCAAGCGUUAUCCGGAUUCACUGGGUUUAAAGGGUGCGUAGGUGGGUCUGUAAGUCAGUGGUGAAAUCUCCAAGCUUAACUUGGAAACUGCCGUUGAUACUAUAGCUCUUGAAUGUUGUGGAGGUGAGCGGAAUAUGUCAUGUAGCGGUGAAAUGCUUAGAUAUGACAUAGAACACCAAUUGCGAAGGCAGCUCACUACACAAAUAUUGACACUGAGGCACGAAAGCGUGGGAUCAAACAGGAUU